AUCUAGCUUAGCGGUUAAAGCGUCUGCCUGCAAUGCUGGAGACCUGGGUUCGAUCCCUGGGU
rnacentral:tRNA from 1 species